rnacentral:lncRNA from 1 species
AUGGGAGCAACUGCUGAUGGAGGACGAGUCAAAGUGUUGUGACUGGCUGCUAUAGAUCCUCUGAUGGUAAUGCCCCUCUACAUUUGAAUUGACAAAAAAGUUGCAGAAUUUCAGUUCCUUUGUACUUAUGAGAUCUUCAGUCCACGACGAAAAAUUGCAGAGUUCUACUUCGUCAAGAUAGGAGUGAGAUUUCGAUGGGACACGACCAGAUUAUGAUGUUGGACUAGCAAAUUUAGUAGAUGAUGAUGUUGUACAUCAAUUCAGACCCGAGAGACUGUAAGCUAAAAGAAAAAAUAUACAGGAGUUCAAAGUCGAGAAAUAGGGG